GGAAUUUUCCGCAAUGGGCGAAAGCCUGACGGAGCAACGCCGCGUGAGGGAUGAAGGCCUCUGGGCUGUAAACCUCUUUUCUCAAGGAAGAAGAACUGACGGUACUUGAGGAAUAAGCCACGGCUAAUUCCGUGCCAGCAGCCGCGGUAAUACGGGAGUGGCAAGCGUUAUCCGGAAUUAUUGGGCGUAAAGCGUCCGCAGGCGGCCCUGUAAGUCUGUCGUUAAAGCGUGGAGCUUAACUCCAUUUGAGCGAUGGAAACUACAGGGCUUGAGUGUGGUAGGGGCAGAGGGAAUUCCCGGUGUAGCGGUGAAAUGCGUAGAUAUCGGGAAGAACACCAGUGGCGAAGGCGCUCUGCUGGGCCAUAACUGACGCUCAUGGACGAAAGCCAGGGGAGCGAAAGGGAUUAGAUACCCCUGUAGUCCUGGCCGUAAACGAUGAACACUAGGUGUCGGGGGAAUCGACCCCCUCGGUGUCGUAGCCAACGCGUUAAGUGUUCCGCCUGGGGAGUACGCACGCAAGUGUGAAACUCAAAGGAAUUGACGGA
rnacentral:rRNA from 1 species